AACUUUUUCCAAUUUUCCUAACUAGUGACUAGAAGGAAUCUAAGGAUUUUAUUUGAAUAUGAUCCAAAAGCUUGCUCUCACCUAUGAAUUUAUGCUCUCUUACAUGCCUUUGUGACAUGUCCUCAAAGCUCAGCCAACUGCCUAAUAUGCAUUCAGUAUGCAUACUCAAUCAGGCUCGAUGACAGGAUUCGAAAAUCGAAUCACAAAAGAUAUUGCAAACUUGCAGGAAGAUGAAGCACUAGAGACAUACCAAAGAUCCUUAGCAUCCUUGAUUCCAAUCUGAAUAGAUGGGCUAGGUUAUGUGGACCAUGAGAAAUUGUACUACUUCCCCUGUCAGAACAGUGUGGGGCUUCUCGAUGAGUAUAAAGAUAUUUCAAUGCAAUCUUGAGUUUAUGCAAAGAGGGCAGGGCACUGGACAUGAUAGCUGAGAAAACAUGGUAAACGAAAAAGAGGAGCCAGAAAAAUCUUACAACAUAUGCACCGGCCUCAGAUUUCUCACCAAGAAGGAUAAUGACAGGGAGAAUGAUAGAAACAAUACAGUUAAGGGAGUCAAAUAUGGCUGCACUGACAAACAUGGCAGACUUUUCAACUGCCCAUAAGGGGUAUGUAUGUGCUUGAGGGGCUUUGGAGAAACAGGAAUCACAUAGGGAAAAGGCACUGCGGAUUGUGCAGGGCAGACAUCGCAUGACAACCAAGUAAAAAGUGGAGGUCAUGCUUUAAAAUUCCAAGCAAAUGCCGCCUCACUUGGAAAACUACAUUAAUCCCACGUUUUGGUGGAGGCUGUGUAGUAUAAUACCAUAUUGUCCAGUCAAGCACGUUUGUUCUAUUAAAGAACCUAGAAAGAAGAAGGGCCUCGCAAGUUGAAUGACGCAUUUCCCAUAACAAGACCACCAUUUCAUUUUCAAGAAUUCAUAGCUAUGCCCUUUGAUUCUUCCUCUCUUUAGGCCUUUCUAGGGCCUACAAGUCCUUGAGGAUAUCUCUUCUUUAAGGGCAAGUCUUCAAUUAAAAAAGAAAAAGAGACCAAAGAAAGUCACAUUUGAGUAGAGGACUGGAAUUCUAAGAACACUGUAAAUCAUUCUUAAAGAAAAUUAUCCCUUUGUCUACUUGUUUGUGCUUGAAAUCAGAUCGUCCUGGUUCACUGAUUGGCUAGGACCCACCAGCCAAUGGAGUAUCACACCAUUUUGUAUCAUUCAACUCACCUCAGGUAUUGAAAUCAUCCAAGUUUAUUCUGGUAAAACAUCAAAAGGGUGUCGUAACAACCAAAACUGAAAUGAUUAAAGACUCAUGGUUUGAUAGAUCCCAUUUGGUACGCUAAAUAAAAUCCAUCAUUUGGUGGAUGCCCUUGAUGAGAGAAACACUGUUUUAUCUAUCAUUUUAUUUAGUUUUCUUUUUUGCUCAAAUUGCAUAA